ACUGAGCUCUGUCUAUGUGCUAUGUGCUGUGCUCAACUGUCUACAUUUUCUCAUUUAAUCUCCACAACAAUCCUGAGACAGGUGUUAUCAUGAUCUCCAUUUACAGGCAAGGAGAUGGAGGCACGGAAAAGUUCCAGAACUUGCCUAAGAUCAUACUGUUGAAAGAGCACUUCUCCUUAAGGCUCAGAGCAGAGCUGGCAUGAGCAACCCACCGCCGUCUUGGAGCUGGAAAGCAGUGGCAGCCCUGGACCCAUCUACUCUGCCAGCCUCCUGGGAACUUCAAGAGGGAGAAAGAAUGAAGAGAGAAGAUGACACAAAGUCAAGCCAAGGCCACAAAGAUGCCUCUAACCUCUUUGCUGUUCACCCCAGCUGAAUGAAGAGACAGAAUGAAAUGUGCUUACAACAAAAUCGCACUAAGUACAUCAUUUCACCAGCGCUGGUUUGAUUUGUAUAUCAGGUCCUCAGGUGUGCAGCCAUGGCUUCCACCUGAGCAGUUUGGAUAGUUUCUGAGAGGCCGUAAAAGGAAGGAAGGAGUCAGCUGAAGAAUUGGGACCAGAGAAGGCUGUCAAAGGGAGUGGUUGUUCGCAUCAAAGAAGACACCUACCUGCUGGCUGGGGACAUGAAUUACAGUCCCUCAACAAAACCCAAGAGGAGAACUAGGUGACCACUUAAGCACAAUCAGAUCUUGCAGCCUGUUCCCAUUGCAGAAAUACUGUCAUGAAAUCUCUGUGAAAUGGACGAAAAGGCUGGGCCGUGUCCUCCCAGUGAGCACAGGUGGCUGGCUCCGGGCCAGGCGCUGC